CCUACGGGAGGCAGCAGUGGGGAAUAUUGCACAAUGGGCGAAAGCCUGAUGCAGCAACGCCGCGUGAAGGAAGACGGUAUUCGGAUUGUAAACUUCUGUUCUUAGUGAAGAAAAAUGACGGUAACUAAGGAGCAAGCCACGGCUAACUACGGGCCAGCAGGCGCGGUAAUCAGUAGGUGGCAAGCGUUGUCCGGAAUUACUGGGUGUAAAGGGAGCGUAGGCGGGAAGCCAAGUCAGCUGUGAAAACUACGGGCUUAACCUGUAGACUGGUGUUGAAACUGGCUUUCUUGAGUGAAGUAGAGGUUGGCGGAAUUCCGAGUGUAGCGGUGAAAUGCGUAGAUAUUCGGAAGAACACCGGUGGCGAAGGCGGCCAACUGCGCUUUAACUGACGCUGAGGCUCGAAAGUGUGGGUAGCAAACAGGAUUAGAUACCCGGGUAGUC
rnacentral:rRNA from 1 species